GACGAACGCUGGCGGCGUGCCUAACACAUGCAAGUCGAGCGAGGAGAGUUCCUUCGGGAACAAACCUAGCGGCGGACGGGUGAGUAACACGUGGGCAACCUGCCUUGUAGAGGGGAAUAGCCUUCCGAAAGGAAGAUUAAUACCGCAUAACAUUACAGUUUCGCAUGAAACAGUAAUUAAAGGAGUAAUCCGCUACAAGAUGGGCCCGCGGCGCAUUAGCUAGUUGGUGAGGUAACGGCUCACCAAGGCGACGAUGCGUAGCCGACCUGAGAGGGUGAUCGGCCACAUUGGGACUGAGACACGGCCCAGACUCCUACGGGAGGCAGCAGUGGGGAAUAUUGCACAAUGGGGGAAACCCUGAUGCAGCAACGCUGCGUGAGUGAUGAAGGUUUUCGGAUCGUAAAGCUCUGUCUUCGGGGACGAUAAUGACGGUACCCGAGGAGGAAGCCACGGCUAACUACGUG
rnacentral:rRNA from 1 species